UUUCCGUAGGUGAACCUGCGGAAGGAUCAUUACCAAAAGAUAAUCUUUCAACUCGAAAGAUCUUUUCCUUUGUGCUGGCUUUGACCGUAUGUAAUUUUGGGACUUAAACAUGGUAGGCCUUACGGUUUACCGGUCCCAAAAACAAUAUAUCAUCCUUAUGAAAAACUUACUGAACAACUAAACAAUGAUUUUAAUAAUCUGUUUAAAACAACUUUCAACAAAGGAUCUCUUGGUUCUCGCAUCUGAAGAACGCAGC
rnacentral:misc_RNA from 1 species